AGCGAACGCUGGCGGCAGGCCUAACACAUGCAAGUCGAGCGCUCGUAGCAAUACGAGAGCGGCAGACGGGAGAGUAACACGUGGGAACGUACCCUUUGGUUCGGAACAACACAGGGAAACUUGUGCUAAUACCGAAUAAACCCUUACGAGGAAAGAUUUAUCGCCGAAGGAUCGGCCCGCGUCUGAUUAGCUAGUUGGUGGGGUAAUGGCUCACCAAGGCGACGAUCAGUAGCUGGCUGAGAGGAUGACCAGCCUCAUUGGGACUGAGACACGGCCCAAACUCCUACGGGAGGCAGCAGUGGGGAAUAUUGGACAAUGGGCGCAAGCCUGAUCCAGCCAUGCCGCGUGGAUGAUGAAGGCCUUAGGGUUGUAAAGUCCUUUUAACGGGGAAGAUAAUGACGGUACCCGUAGAAUAAGCCCCGGCUAACUUCGUGCCAGCCGCCGCCGUAAU
rnacentral:rRNA from 1 species